CAGCCACAAACCUGUUCGGAAGGCUGGGGUGGGACACAGGAACUGCUGCUCACCUGCCCUGAUCGCCACUCACCUUGUUGGUGCAGGGCAGUGGCUGAGCCUGCAGAUUUUCCAGAUUGUGCACAAUCUCUUCCAGCCUCCUGAACCAGCUUCAUGUGCAUCUUUGGGGUGGCAAAUAGCUAAGAAUGCCGCUCAGCUGAAGACCAAGCCAUUUCUGAUGGAAAAGGAAGGUGGCUCAGAAUGUGGAGUUGAGAGUCCAGUGGAAGGGCCAAGACCCCCUGUGCUUGCCUCCCUACCUCAUGGCUUUGUCCAGUACCCUGGAGCUUGCUCAGCCUGCUUGGAAGAGCCAGGAAGUGCCACCUGUAUAUGUCUGUAAAGGCAACCAUCAAACAAUGAGCAACGGGCAUCAGUGGAUGAAUAUUUCAGUUUCCAUGUUCCUUGCAUUCCUUCAUUUAUGCUUCCUGGAGUCCAUACCCCACAUAAACCACCUGCGCCCAAUCCUUGUCUCGGAACUUGCUUUGGAGGACUCCAGCAACCCUUGGAAGGAGUGAUUACCUUUGAUGGGAAAUGUGUGAAGACAUGCCUGAAUAGGACUCUUCAGGAUUAUGCAAUUUACCACACCAGAAGGAAGGGUGUCUUGCGGGAGGUGCAUUGGUAGCACAGGGGUAGCAUGUGUCCAUGUCUGUAGGUGAGAAAUGGGAUGCAGAGUUUGGAAAAUUGCCAGUAGUCCUUAUUGAAGCCAAUAGAAUAAAGUCUUUGU